UACGUAGGGUGCGAGCGUUUGUCCGGAAUUAUUGGGCGUAAAGAGCUCGUAGGCGGUUUGUUGCGUCGGCUGUGAAAUCCCGAGGCUCAACCUCGGGUCUGCAGUCGAUACGAGCAAACUAGAGUGUUGCAGGGGAGACUGGAAUUCCUGGUGUAGCGGUGAAAUGCGCAGAUAUCAGGAGGAACACCGGUGGCGAAGGCGGGUCUCUGGGCCGAUACUGACGCUGGAGGAGCGAAAGCCGUGGGGAGCGAACAGG
rnacentral:rRNA from 1 species